CUUGAACGCUGGCGGAAUGCUUUACACAUGCAAGUCGAGCGGCAGCGCGGGGGCAACCCUGGCGGCGAGCGGCGAACGGGUGAGUAACAUAUCGGAACGUACCCCGUCGUGGGGGAUAACACAGCGAAAGCUGUGCUAAUACCGCAUACGACCUGAGGGUGAAAGCGGGGGAUCGCAAGACCUCGCGCGAUGGGAGCGGCCGAUAUCGGAUUAGCUUGUUGGUGAGGUAAAGGCUCACCAAGGCGACGAUCCGUAGCUGGUCUGAGAGGACGACCAGCCACACUGGAACUGAGACACGGUCCAGACUCCUACGGGAGGCAGCAGUGGGGAAUUUUGGACAAUGGGGGCAACCCUGAUCCAGCCAUUCCGCGUGAGUGAAGAAGGCCUUCGGGUUGUAAAGCUCUUUCAGCAGGAACGAAACGGUGGCCACUAAUACUGGCUACUAAUGACGGUACCUGAAGAAGAAGCACCGGCUAACUACGUGCCAGCCGCCGCCGUAACAC
rnacentral:rRNA from 1 species